rnacentral:rRNA from 1 species
UAACCUGCCUUGUAGCGGGGGAUAACUAUUGGAAACGAUAGCUAAUACCGCAUAAAAGACGAUAUCGCAUGAUAUUGAUUUGAAAGGUGCAAAUGCAUCACUAAGAGAUGGACCUGCGUUGUAUUAGCUAGUUGGUGAGGUAACGGCUCACCAAGGCAACGAUACAUAGCCGACCUGAGAGGGUGAUCGGCCACACUGGGACUGAGACACGGCCCAG